CCCUUAGAUGUUCUGGGCCGCACGCGCGCUACACUGACACGUUCAUCAAGUCUAUAACCUUGACCGAGAGGUCUGGGUAAUCUUUUAAAAACGUGUCGUGCUGGGGAUAGAUUAUUGCAAUUAUUAAUCUUCAACGAGGAAUUCCUAGUAAACGCAAGUCAUCAACUUGCAUUGAUUACGUCCCUGCCCUUUGUACACACCGCCCGUCGCUACCACCGAUUGAAUGAUUUAGUGAGUACCAGGGACCGAGCGCUUUGGUUGGGUUUCCUUCCCUAGCGCUUGGGAACUGUCGCAAACUUGACCAUUUAGAGGAAGUAAAAGUCGUAACA
rnacentral:rRNA from 1 species